rnacentral:rRNA from 1 species
CAGCAGCCGCGGUAAUACGGAGGGUGCAAGCGUUAAUCGGAAUUACUGGGCGUAAAGCGCACGCAGGCGGUUUGUUAAGUCAGAUGUGAAAUCCCCGAGCUUAACUUGGGAACUGCAUUUGAAACUGGCAAGCUAGAGUCUUGUAGAGGGGGGUAGAAUUCCAGGUGUAGCGGUGAAAUGCGUAGAGAUCUGGAGGAAUACCGGUGGCGAAGGCGGCCCCCUGGACAAAGACUGACGCUCAGGUGCGAAAGCGUGGGGAGCAAGCAGGAUUAGAUACCCGGGUAGUCCCUGUCUCUUAUAC